AGUGAACGCUGGCGGUAGGCCUAACACAUGCAAGUCGAACGGCAGCACAGGAGAUCUUGCUCUCUAGGUGGCGAGUGGCGGACGGGUGAGGAAUACAUCGGAAUCUGCCCAGUCGUGGGGGAUAACGUAGGGAAACUUACGCUAAUACCGCAUACGACCUGCGGGUGAAUGAGGGGGAUCGCAAGACCUCUCGAGAGUUGAUGAGCCGAUGGCGGAUUAGCUAGUUAGCGGGGUAAUGGCCCACCAAGGCGACGAUCCGUAGCUGGUCUGAGAGGAUGAUCAGACCCACUACAACUGAGACACGGCACAGACCCCUACGCGAGGCAACAGAGGGGAAUAUUGGACAAUGGGCGCAAGCCUGAUCCAACCAUACCGCGUGGGUGAAGAAGGCCUUCGGGUUGUAAAGCCCUUUUGCUGGGAAAGAAAUCUUUCAGGCUAAUACCCUGGGAGGAUGACGGUACCCAAAGAAUAAGCACCGGCUAACUUCGUG
rnacentral:rRNA from 1 species